GGCCUGCUGGCGCAAUUGGUUAGCGCGUCGAGCUAAUAACUCGAAGGCUCUGAGUUCAAGCCUCAGGUGGGCCA
rnacentral:tRNA from 1 species